rnacentral:rRNA from 1 species
GUUAAGUCCCGCAACGAGCGCAACCCCUGUCCUAUGUUAAAUUCUCAUAGGAGACUGCCCUGUACAGCAGGGAGGAAGGAGGGGAUGACGUCAAGUCAGCAUGGCCUUUAUGUCCUGGGCUACACACACGCUACAAUGGACGGUACAAAGGGUUGCCAAAGAGCGAUCUGGAGCUAAUCCCAGAAAAGCGUCCUCAGUUCGGAUUGCAGGCUGAAAUCGCCUGCAUGAAGUUGGAGUUGCUAGUAACCGCAGGUCAGCUAUACUGCGGUGAAUACGUUCUCGGGCCUUGUACACACCGCCCGUCACGUUAUGGAAGUUGGUAAUACUCGAAGUCGAUGGGCUAACCUGUUUUAACAGGAGGUAAUCGCCGAGAGUGGGGCUGAUAACUGUAACGAAGUCGUAACAAGGUA